AUAGGGUCAAGCGACUAAGUGCAUCUGGUGGAUGCCUUGGCGAUCACAGGCGAUGAAGGACGUGUAAGCCUGCGAAAAGCGCGGGGGAGCUGGCAAUAGAGCUUUGAUCCCGCGAUAUCCGAAUGGGGAAACCCGGCCCUUAGGGGUCAUCCCUGACUGAAUACAUAGGUCAGCGGAAGCGAACUCAGCGAACUGAAACAUCUAAGUAGCUGAAGGAAAAGAAAUCAACCGAGAUUCCGUAAGUAGUGGCGAGCGAACGCGGAACAGCCUGUAUGUGUUAUGAGUUGCGUUAGUGGAAGGUUCAUGGAAAGGACCGCCGUAGUGGGUGAUAGCCCCGUACACGAAAACGCAUCGCAAGAACUAAGCAUACGAGAAGUAGGGCGGGACACGCGAAAUCCUGUCUGAAGAUGGGGGGACCAUCCUCCAAGGCUAAAUACUCGUGAUCGACCGAUAGUGAACCAGUACCGUGAGGGAAAGGCGAAAAGAACCCCGGGAGGGGAGUGAAAUAGAACCUGAAACCGGAUGCAUACAAACAGUGGGAGCGGACUUGUUCCGUGACUGCGUACCUUUUGUAUAAUGGGUCAGCGACUUACGUUCAGUAGCGAGCUUAACCGAAUAGGGGAGGCGUAGGGAAACCGAGUCCGAAUAGGGCGCUUUAGUUGCUGGGCGUAGACCCGAAACCGAGUGAUCUAUCCAUGGCCAGGAUGAAGGUGCGGUAACACGCACUGGAGGUCCGAACCCACUAGUGUUGCAAAACUAGGGGAUGAGCUGUGGAUAGGGGUGAAAGGCUAAACAAACUCGGAGAUAGCUGGUUCUCCCCGAAAACUAUUUAGGUAGUGCCUCAUGUAUCACUUCCGGGGGUAAAGCACUGUUAUGGCUAGGGGGUCAUUGCGAUUUACCAAACCAUGGCAAACUCUGAAUACCGGAAAGUGCGAGCAUGGGAGACAGACGGUGGGUGCUAACGUCCAUCGUCAAGAGGGAAACAACCCAGACCGCCAGCUAAGGUCCCAAAUGAUCAGUUAAGUGGUAAACGAAGUGGGAAGGCCUAGACAGCCAGGAUGUUGGCUUAGAAGCAGCCAUCAUUUAAAGAAAGCGUAAUAGCUCACUGGUCGAGUCGUCCUGCGCGGAAGAUGUAACGGGGCUCAAACUGAUAACCGAAGCUGCGGAUG
rnacentral:rRNA from 2 species